rnacentral:rRNA from 1 species
CUUUGUUGUUAAAACUACCUUGUUGCUUUGGCGGGACCGCUCGGUCUCGAGCCGCUGGGGAUUCGUCCCAGGCGAGCGCCCGCCAGAGUUAAACCAAACUCUUGUUAUUUAACCGGUCGUCUGAGUUAAAAUUUUGAAUAAAUCAAAACUUUCAACAACGGAUCUCUUGGUUCUCGCAUCGAUGAAGAACGCAGCGAAAUGCGAUAAGUAAUGUGAAUUGCAGAAUUCAGUGAAUCAUCGAAUCUUUGAACGCACAUUGCGCCCCUUGGUAUUCCGAGGGGCAUGCCUGUUCGAGCGUCAUUACACCACUCAAGCUAUGCUUGGUAUUGGGCGUCGUCCUUAGUUGGGCGCGCCUUAAAGACCUCGGCGAGGCCACUCCGGCUUUAGGCGUAGUAGAAUUUAUUCGAACGUCUGUCAAAGGAGAGGAACUCUGCCGACUGAAACCUUUAUUUUUCUAGGUUGACCUCGGAUCAGGUAGGGAUACCCGCUGAACUUAAGCAUAUCAAUAA